rnacentral:rRNA from 1 species
AAUAUUGCUACAAUGGGGCGCUAAGCCUGAUGCAGCCAUGCCGCGUGUAUGAAGAAGGCCUUCGGGUUGUAAAGUACUUUCAGCAGUGAGGAAGGUGGGUAUGUUAAUAGCAUACUCAUUUGACGUUAGCUGCAGAAGAAGCACCGGCUAACUCCGUGCCAGCAGCCGCGGUAAUACGGAGGGUGCGAGCGUUAAUCGGAAUUACUGGGCGUAAAGCGCAUGCAGGUGGUUUGUUAAGUCAGAUGUGAAAGCCCGGGGCUCAACCUCGGAAUUGCAUUUGAAACUGGCAAACUAGAGUACUGUAGAGGGGGUAGAAUUCGGGUUGUAGCGGUGAAAUGCGUAGAGAUCUGAAGGAAUACCGGUGGCGAAGGCGGCCCCCUGGACAGAUACUGACACUCAGAUGCGAAAGCGUGGGGAGCAAACAGGAUUAGAUACCCUGGUAG